rnacentral:rRNA from 1 species
UGAGGAAUAUUGGUCAAUGGAAGGAAUUCUGAACCAGCCAUGCCGCGUGCAGGACGAAGGCUCUAUGAGUCUUAAACUGCUUUAGUGAGAGAAUAAAGUCACAUACGAGUAUGUGUUUGCAAGUAUCUCAAGAAUAAGGAUCGGCUAACUCCGUGCCAGCAGCCGCGGUAAUACGGAGGAUCCGAGCGUUAUCCGGAUUUAUUGGGUUUAAAGGGUGCGUAGGUUGCUAAAUAAGUUAGCGGUGAAAACUAGAGGCUCAACCUCUAACGUGCCGCUAAAACUGUCUAGCUAGAGUAUGGAUGCAGCAGGCGGAAUGUGUAGUGUAGCGGUGAAAUGCAUAGAUAUUACACAGAACACCGAUUGCGAAGGCAGCUUGCUAAACCAAAACUGACACUGAGGCACGAAAGCGUGGGGAUCGAACA